rnacentral:rRNA from 1 species
AGCGAACGCUGGCGGCAGGCUUAACACAUGCAAGUCGAACGGGCUUCUUCGGAAGUCAGUGGCAGACGGGUGGGUACCACGUGGGAACGUGCCCUUCGGUUCGGAAUAACUCAGGGUAACUUGAGCUAAUACCGGAUACGCCCUUUUGGGGAAAGGUUUACUGCCGCAGGAUCGGCCCGCGUCUGAUUAGCUUGUUGGUGGGUUAACGGCCUUCCAAGGCGAGGAUCAGUAGCUGGUCUGAGAGGAUGAUCAGCCACACUGGGACGGAGACACGGCCCAGACUCCUACGGGAAGGAGCAGUGGGGAAUAUUGGACAAUGGGCGCAAGCCUGAUCCAGCCAUGCCGCGUGAGUGAUGAAGGCCUUAGGGUUGUAAAGCUCUUUUGUCCGGGACGAUAAUGACGGUACCGGAAGAAUAAGCCACGGCUAACUUCGUG